rnacentral:rRNA from 1 species
GAUGAACGCUGGCGGCGUGCCUAAUACAUGCAAGUCGAGCGAACAGAUAAGGAGCUUGCUCCUUCGACGUUAGCGGCGGACGGGUGAGUAACACGUGGGUAACCUACCUAUAAGACUGGGAUAACUUCGGGAAACCGGAGCUAAUACCGGAUAACAUUUGGAACCGCAUGGUUCUAAAGUGAAAGAUGGUUUUGCUAUCACUUAUAGAUGGACCCGCGCCGUAUUAGCUAGUUGGUAAGGUAACGGCUUACCAAGGCAACGAUACGUAGCCGACCUGAGAGGGUGAUCGGCCACACUGGAACUGAGACACGGUCCAGACUCCUACGGGAGGCAGCAGUAGGGAAUCUUCCGCAAUGGGCGAAAGCCUGACGGAGCAACGCCGCGUGAGUGAUGAAGGGUUUCGGCUCGUAAAACUCUGUUAUUAGGGAAGAACAAACGUGUAAGUAACUGUGCACGUCUUGACGGUACCUAAUCAGAAAGCCACGGCUAACUACGU